AUUGAACGCUGGCGGCAUGCCUUACACAUGCAAGUCGAACGGUAACAGGUCUUCGGAUGCUGACGAGUGGCGAACGGGUGAGUAAUACAUCGGAACGUGCCCAGACGUGGGGGAUAACGAGGCGAAAGCUUUGCUAAUACCGCAUACGAUCUAAGGAUGAAAGCAGGGGACCACAAGGCCUUGCGCGUUUGGAGCGGCCGAUGGCAGAUUAGGUAGUGGGUGGGAUAAAAGCUUACCAAGCCGACGAUCUGUAGCUGGUCUGAGAGGACGACCAGCCACACUGGGACUGAGACACGGCCCAGACUCCUACGGGAGGCAGCAGUGGGGAAUUUUGGACAAUGGGCGAAAGCCUGAUCCAGCAAUGCCGCGUGCAGGAUGAAGGCCUUCGGGUUGUAAACUGCUUUUGUACGGAACGAAAAGGCUCUGGCUAAUACCUGGGGCACAUGACGGUACCGUAAGAAUAAGCACCGGCUAACUACGUGCCAGCAGCCGCGGUAAAAC
rnacentral:rRNA from 1 species